rfam:Ipomoea nil DNA, scaffold: scaffold2792, cultivar: Tokyo-kokei standard.
AGGAGUCGUAUGAGAUGAAAAUCUCAUGUACGGUUCUGGAAUAGCGACGAUAACAGUAAUGUUAUCAUCGACUAUGAU